GACGCGGGCGGUUCGCCGCCCGCGACUCGGCGAGAAGUCCAUUGAACCUUAUCAUUUAGAGGAAGGGGAAGUCGUAACAGGUUUCCGUAGGUGAACCUGCGGAAGGAUCAUUG
rnacentral:rRNA from 1 species